rnacentral:rRNA from 1 species
AUUGAACGCUGGCGGCAUGCCUUACACAUGCAAGUCGAACGGCAGCACGGAGCUUGCUCUGGUGGCGAGUGGCGAACGGGUGAGUAAUAUAUCGGAACGUACCCUGGAGUGGGGGAUAACGUAGCGAAAGUUACGCUAAUACCGCAUACGAUCUACGGAUGAAAGUGGGGGAUCGCAAGACCUCAUGCUCGUGGAGCGGCCGAUAUCUGAUUAGCUAGUUGGUAGGGUAAAAGCCUACCAAGGCAUCGAUCAGUAGCUGGUCUGAGAGGACGACCAGCCACACUGGAACUGAGACACGGUCCAGACUCCUACGGGAGGCAGCAGUGGGGAAUUUUGGACAAUGGGCGAAAGCCUGAUCCAGCAAUGCCGCGUGAGUGAAGAAGGCCUUCGGGUUGUAAAGCUCUUUUGUCAGGGAAGAAACGGUGAGGGCUAAUAUCUCUUGCUAAUGACGGUACCUGAAGAAUAAGCACCGGCUAACUACGUGCCAGCAGCCGCGGUAAUACGUAGGGUGCAAGCGUUAAUCGGAAUUACUGAGCGUAAAGCGUGCGCAGGCGGUUUUGUAAGUCUGAUGUGAAAUCCCCGGGCUCAACCUGGGAAUUGCAUUGGAGACUGCAAGGCUAGAAUCUGGCAGAGGGGGGUAGAAUUCCACGUGUAGCAGUGAAAUGCGUAGAUAUGUGGAGGAACACCGAUGGCGAAGGCAGCCCCCUGGGUCAAGAUUGACGCUCAUGCACGAAAGCGUGGGGAGCAAACAGG